ACAUACAUGUAAUAUACGUUUCCAAUAAAAACAUUAAUUGACAAUUGAUUAUAGAUUUAAAAAAUAACUGAUAUAAAUAAUUCAUGGAAGGUUUUUUACAAGUUUUUUACGGAACUUACUGGAUAUAAAAGUUGGACAAGGAUAUGGAAAUAUUUUACAGCGGCAUUGGAUCAUCAUGCAAAACCUCUUGUGACGUUUAGCAUUUUGAUUUGUGUGGUGAUAGAUCAAUUUUGUUGGGAUGAUUGGAUGUGUUUUAAACCAAUUCUUUGGAAACUGAAGUUUCAUGCUUCUUGCAUGUCAAUAAAAGGAGCUUCAGUAAAACUACAGUGACAAUGAUGACAACGUUUCAAUCACGACUUGACACCUGGUUCCUGGCAUUACAGAAACAUACACGAAAGAAAAUUGUUCCAAGAUAGUUUCGUACAAUCUUCUGAUUCUUGGCUUAACCGGAAACGGACUAGCAAACUUUUGCAUUGAUUAUACCAUUUACUUUUUUCUUCAAGGGGAAUUUACGUGUAAAAAGAUACCACAACCAAGGCUGCUGUCAAAUAUAUUCCUGAGUUCCUUCAAAUGUAUGUUUCGUGAAUUAUGGUCAUACCGUAGAAACUUAAAUCAAAAUUCAGGGUGAAAACCUUUAUUGAUUUAAGAACAUCUUAUUGAAUUAAUUUUAUUGUUUUAUCAAAUAUGGGACAUAAAGUAUAGAGGGAUAAGCAACUACCGACUGGAUAAACUGUCUUAUGUUGGCGUCCAAUUGACAGCCGAUCUUCGAUAUAGUUUUUAAAAAAUCAUUCGCCAUUUGCCUUAUACUUUUCUUAUUUACAUUAAUUACAACGGACAAAAAUAUACACGUUCACAACUAU